rnacentral:rRNA from 1 species
AACGAACGCUGGCGGCAGGCCUAACACAUGCAAGUCGAGCGAGACCUUCGGGUCUAGCGGCGGACGGGUUAGUAACGCGUGGGAACGUGCCCUCUCUGCGGAAUAGCCACUGGAAACGGUGAGUAAUACCGCAUACGCCCUUCGGGGGAAAGACUUAUCGGAGAAGGAUCGGCCCGCGUUAGAUUAGAUAGUUGGUGGGUAACGGCCUACCAAGUCUACGAUCUAUAGCUGGUUUUAGAGGAUGAUCAGCAACACUGGGACUGAGACACGGCCCAGACUCCUACGGGAGGCAGCAGUGGGGAAUCUUAGACAAUGGGCGCAAGCCUGAUCUAGCCAUGCCGCGUGUGUGAUGAAGGUCUUAGGAUCGUAAAGCACUUUCGCCAGGGAUGAUAAUGACAGUACCUGGUAAAGAAACCCCGGCUAACUCCGUG